rnacentral:lncRNA from 13 species
GCGACAACUUCCUCGCGAAUCGCGAGAUCCACUGUCGAAGCGGAGGCUGCGCCUUCGAUCGAUCUCUCUUCGAGACGACGACGCCGUCGACGACGACGACGACGACGAUGACGACGACAACGACGACGACGACGACGACGACAACAACGACGACGAGACGCCGUGAUCGAUGAACGCCGUCGGCGGCAGGGGUGAAGGGAAGAAGGCGGCUCCGUUGCCGUGGAGGGCUACGAUUCCGCCGCGGAAUCGACGCGAGUCCGCUUAGGAUCGCCGCGCGCGGAGCGUGUCAUCGGUCGCGCCCAGGAAGACGCGAGAGAGAACGACGAAACGUCGACGUCGACGACGACGACGACGAUGACGAGAAUACCGCCGCUGCCGCCGCCGGCGGUCGUUCCUCGGUGCCGUUGCACGAUCCGGGAACGCGACGAAAACUGAUUGUGCAUCACACGCGUGUACGUAGUAUACCGGGCGUUCGCAGUCCACGACGGCCGAUCAAGAUCAUCGAUCACUGCCUUCGUGUGUGAGACCUACAACACUACCACAUUUACUUGGGACGCGUGACCGGCGUGUAUCGCGGCUCCAUUUUCCUCCGGCUGAACGCGUGGACAAUGCUUCCUCGGCACGGAUCCGAUCGCGAAAUCUCCUUCCAUGGAAAGAGCCGGCCGUGUUAGCCGUCGCCGGGAUGGAGGAGGAAGAAUGCGAGGAUGGUAACAAUCGGCCGGCGUGCGGAAGGAAGCGCAGUCGCGAGGAGCCCCUGAGAGGAUCGCUAAGGGGAUGCACAAUGUUGCUGCGAUAUCGCCGCGAUGUUGCUGCGGCAAGGACGUCGAAUCAAUACGGUGCUAUCGGUUGUCAAGUGUUCGCUCGCGUGGCGGCGACGUGCCGCGCCGCGCCGCGAUUACAAACGAUCCACUAAGUCGCUAAUUGGGGAGACUCAGGUCGCCCACACGGAAACCGCCCAGAGAGGCGGUUCACCCCGCGAGACUCGGACGAGCGAAGCGCUUACACGCGCGUACGCGCGUACGUGAAGCGUGACAGAUCCGCGGAUGAUGGAGUGCGCGUCGAGGACGAGCGGGGGACUUGAAUCCGUCGGCACGUACCGCAAGAUCGCUCGUACGAUCGCGCUUUAAACUAGAGCCGACUCGCUCGCUCGCUCGCUCGCUCGCUCGCACGGACGUUCGUGCGAGGGAAGACUCGAAGACAUGAUCGGCUCGACGAUGCCCGAGGGACGAUCCCGCGCCGCGACGCGGCGGGUCGAGUACGAGUACCAAGUGCUUCUAUUCGGUGACGAACUAUCGGAGCUACGCAAAAGUGCCAGCGGCACCCCGGAAACGCCGAAUCUCACUUGAGAAGGAGAACAAUUAUACGUAAAUGUCACUAAACAGCUGCGGAAGCCAGUGUCGACUCUCUCGAUCCCGG